UGUGAAACUUCAUCAAUCUUGGAAUCAAAAUCUAAAAUAAUUAAAGCACCCUAUUAGACUUCUAAGUAGGAGAUAUUCUAAUUUACGCCAUCAAAUCCAAUCUACAUCCAAGGGUCUCGACCAACCCGGGGAUCUAAAUAUUUAUCAGAAAUAGAUCUUUACAUGGAGACCAAGGUUACCUGAAUAUAAAAGAAUUUGGUUGUGAUUACUCUUCCUUGAUACUUGGAUCUACUUUUCCAUCUGACCAAAAUUCAGAUUUAAUGCUCAAAUUAAGAAAAAAUUAAUCUAAUUAAUGAAGAUUAGCCUUGAUCUAGGUGAAUCGAUAAAGAUAGAAAUAGAGAGAGAGAGAGAAUCAGUCUUGGCUAAGUCGGUGCAAGGGCCUGAUCAUAAUCUCUUGGGCAUAGACCAAACACACACAAAGAGAGAGAGAUAAUACUAUAGAAAUCAAUUAACAAAACAAAUAAACAAUGAAUAACAUGGGGAAAAACAGAGAAG
rnacentral:lncRNA from 1 species